UACGGCGCAUGCGCGCGUAAUGCCAAGUGAGGCAAUUUGUCCUUUGCCGGCUCUCGUCGAAGAGUUGCCAAGGAAGGGCUGAGAGACGCCGGAAAAAAAGCGGGGGGAGGUCUACGGUCGUCAUGGCGGCGGCAGCAGCGACGGCGGCCGCUGACACUCUGUGGGAAGACAGGGAUGUCCGCUUCGACAUCUCGUCGCAGCAAAUGAAAAUGAGACCAGGAGAAGUUCUCAUUGAUUGUUUGGAUCCUAUUGAAGAUACCAAAGGAAACAAUGGAGAAAAAGGCAGACUCUUGGUAACAAACUUACGAAUUAUUUGGCACUCUAUAGUAUUGCCUAGAGUCAACCUCUGU